rnacentral:rRNA from 1 species
GUGUCAGCAGCCGCGGUAAGACAGAGGGGGCAAGCGUUGCUCGGAAUCACUGGGCGUAAAGGGCGCGUAGGCGGGGGGAUAAGUCGGUCGUGAAAUCCCCGGGCUCAACCCGGGGAGGUCGGCCGAGACUGUUCGUCUUGAGGGGCGCAGAGGGGCCUGGAAUUCCCGGUGUAGCGGUGAAAUGUGUAGAGAUCGGGAGGAACACCGGUGGCGAAGGCGGGGCUCUGGGCGCACCCUGACGCUGAGGCGCGAAAGCGUGGGGAGCAAACGGGAUUAGAUACCCGAGUAGUCC